rnacentral:rRNA from 1 species
UGGGGAAUAUUGCACAAUGGGCGCAAGCCUGAUGCAGCCAUUCCGCGUGUAUGAAGAAGGCCUUCGGGUUGUAAAGUACUUUCAGCGGGGAGGAAGGGAGUAAAGUUAAUACCUUUGCUCAUUGACGUUACCCGCAGAAGAAGCACCGGCUAACUCCGUGCCAGCAGCCGCGGUAAUACGGAGGGUGCAAGCGUUAAUCGGAAUUACUGGGCGUAAAGCGCACGCAGGCGGUUUGUUAAGUCAGAUGUGAAAUCCCCGGGCUCAACCUGGGAACUGCAUCUGAUACUGGCAAGCUUGAGUCUCGUAGAGGGGGGUAGAAUUCCAGGUGUAGCGGUGAAAUGCGUAGAGAUCUGGAGGAAUACCGGUGGCGAAGGCGGCCCCCUGGACGAAGACUGACGCUCAGGUGCGAAAGCGUGGGGAGCAAACAGG